rnacentral:rRNA from 1 species
UGUGUGGUGGUAAACGGAGNNNNNCUCGAAGUNNNNNNNNNGGACUCAGCCUUGGGUGUCUGGUAGUCUGUGCGUAGUUGAUCAGCAAUGACUCUGCGUGCUGUCUUGCCUGGCUCUCGGGUGCAUUUCCCCUGCAGUUUACGGCAGGAACUGUUCGAUGCAGAUCAAAGGCCUUGGGAGAAGUUGUCGCUUCGGUGGCAGCCCCGGGUGUCCUGGCUCUGCGCUUGACAGGUACGUGAGAGGACUCGUAUAGCGAGCAAUGCUCUGUUGCGGUUCUCAUCUCUCUGCCGAGUAGGUCGGCG